UUUUCUUUCUCAAUAAAAUUAUAUUAUAUAUAUAUUUUUUAUCAUGAAAUCAUGUCCUAUCAAAAUUAUAUUUUUGACAUACAAGAUCUGUCUGCAGCUGAAUUGAUUGUGUUUCCAGCAGCAGUGGCUCAUGUGGCUGGCCUAGACUUCUUGAAUGAAAGGGGAGCAUUGUAUGCAGAGUUUUUGGCUAAGCUUAGGGUGAAAGAGAUGGAGCUAUUGGAGGCUGAAAGAGAAUCUCACAUGUUCCAUGUGUUUCACCCUGAAUCUGAGGCAACUCGCUUGCUCCAAAAACAGAUAAGCAAGUUUAUGAACAUCCAUUAGCAUCUAAAAUGGCUGCCAACUACAAACUAUGUGCAGAAAGAAUAUCACAGAAAUCUAAUGAAGUUAUAGUAUUGAUGGUAUCUAGUAACUAUAUGAGAAAUGUAGUGAAAUUUGACAAGACUUCAAAUAAUCAUUUCUACUCAUCAACAGUGCUCAUAAAACCACCGAUAAAGCCAGCUCCAUUGCAAUUCCCACAUAGCAUUUCCUUCUUUCCUCUGCAAGAUAACCCAUAAAUGAAGACAUGAUUUAUGGGUGUCAUACCAGCAAAACAUUGACCAAGUACAAGAGGAUAAAAGAAGUUCUCAUUACCCACAAAGCCAACAGGAGUCGCCAGCUUUAAAUUGUCCAUUAAAGAGAUCAACAGAGUUCACUCCUCUACCUUUACACUGUGAGCAUAGAACUGCACCUGGUAAUUGACAGCAAAAGAAAAGAAAAAACCUAUCUUUCAUCCGUUGUUUCACAAUUGUAACAGAAGAAUAUGCCAGAAGUUCUCAUUAAUAUUUAACAUUGGUUCCACUCAUGAAGGCAUCAACAAACAAACUUUUAAUUCAACCCAACAAGAAGAAUAAGAAGAAACAGGAUUACAAACAAAAGUUAACGGCCAUAGAAUAAUGCCAUGGGAGGUGGACAACAAGAACAGAAUGCUUUGAAUUAUCAAGAAAAUUGAAGAAUAUCUUCAAACAAGCAGCAAAAUUUAACUCUAGUUAUUGGCUUAAUUACCAUUUCCAUCACAGUCACCACAGAUAACGCUUUUUGGUUUUGGGUUUUGAUUUCUUGGUGCAGCCUAUUAUCAAGCAUGAACAAUUAGAAAUAAAAAUACGGUAACCAAUCAACAUAAAGAAAUAGACAUGGCUCACAACAAGGGAGUCAAAUCUGACUCUAGUUUUCACAUAGUAACGUCUAGCAGUAGAAGGAGCGUGGAGCAAGUCAUGUAUCCCAAGAAUCUCCUGCUUGACAGAACUGGUUCCAUAUAUCCCCGAAUCUUGCGUGGCUCCAAAUGGAGGUAGCAGGCCCAAGCAUGAAGCCACAGCCAUUGACAGAAUUCUCGACAACAAUUCAACUUUGUUCAGUGGGUAGCUUUGCAAAAUUGCAAUGGAUGGCAACCAUGGAAGUUCAUUACGAUUAGAUUGUAACUGGGCUUUGCACAAUUGUUGUAGGCCUCAGAAGCUUCACUCAUGAGUACAACUAAACCUUAAGCCCGUACCCAUAACAAAGAGAAGGGGCAUUUAGGGCAACGCGGUAGAAAUAUCGGUGGAUUAUAUAUUUGUUUUCAGCUGCGCAGCCUCUUCUCUAUCUUUAGUCGAGGUCAUUGCUGGGGUCUCCUUACACUCAAAAUCUUUUCCCAAUUUCUUUUAGCUCGCUAACCAUUUUCCUUUGCAGACUUUCCAAACCGUAAUCCUAAAACCCAAAUCCACCUUUUUUUCAGAGCCUAGCAGAACAUGGGUGAAACAAGGGACAACGAUGCUUACGAGGAGGAGCUUCUCGAUUACGAGGAAGAAGAAGAGAAAGUCCCUGACUCUGUCACCAAAGUCAAUGGCGAAUCCGCCAAGAAAGGCUAUGUUGGAAUACACAGUUCCGGAUUCAGAGACUUUCUUCUGAAGCCAGAGCUUCUACGUGCCAUUGUGGACUCGGGAUUUGAGCAUCCUUCUGAAGGUAAAAUACCACUAUCACACUCUUGAUUUUGGAGCUGUAUUCUGGUUUGGUAAACCUUUCAAUUAAAGGAUCAGGGAGGUUUUGUUUUACUUACCAAGGGUUCCUUGGAUACAAUUUUGUUUGGUUCUUCGUCAGUUCAACAUGAGUGUAUCCCUCAAGCCAUCUUGGGCAUGGAUGUUAUCUGCCAAGCUAAAUCUGGGAUGGGGAAGACUGCUGUAUUUGUUCUGUCUACUCUUCAGCAAAUUGAGCCUACAUCUGGCCAAGUUAGUGCCCUUGUUUUGUGUCAUACUAGGGAGUUGGCUUACCAGAUAUGUCACGAGUUUGAGAGGUUCAGUACGUACUUGCCUGAUAUCAAGGUUGCUGUCUUUUAUGGUGGUGUCCAUAUCAAAACUCACAAGGAUUUAUUGAAAAAUGAAUGCCCACAUGUUGUCGUUGGGACACCUGGAAGAAUACUGGCACUGGCGAGAGAUAAGGAACUUUCAUUGAAGAAUGUGAGGCAUUUUAUUCUCGAUGAAUGUGACAAGAUGCUUGAAUCACUUGACAUGAGGAGAGAUGUGCAGGAGAUCUUCAAGAUGACUCCUCAUGAUAAGCAAGUUAUGAUGUUUUCUGCAACACUCAGCAAAGAAAUCCGCCCAGUUUGCAAGAAAUUUAUGCAAGAUGUAAUGUCCUAAGGCCAGUUCUACUUCAAUUUAGAAGUAUCUUUUUAUUAAUGCCAGAUUUCUGCAAGAGUCCUGUAGAUGUUAGGAUCCAGUUGUCUGUCAAAAGUGGUUUUAUCCUCCUGCCAUUUUAAGAAUAAAAAUGCAGUUUGAUUGGGUGAGGAAAAAAUUUAAGAAAUUGAACGCCAAGUGAAGGCAUCAAGAUCUUGAGUUGGUGAAUAUUUCAUCUUUUUCUUUUAUUUUUUGAAGUCUUUCAUUUUUAGGCUUUGGGUAUUUUGUGGGUUUGGGGUUGGGUAAUUGGGUAUGGUAGAGAAGGGGAGCGUGACAGUGAGAAGAAUGGAAGGAGUUCUGGGUUUGGGGCUGUAAUAAAGAUAAGAGAGGUGUUAAGCGGCAGUGGCACUUUUUGUCGUAACAAAUGUAUCUGCAAGGAGACGAUUCAGAUGGACCAGAAUCUUGAUUCAAGGGCUGUGAAUCCAUCAUUCAUUUCCUUCUGGAUUGCAUUAGCUUGAGGAAGGCUGCUAAUAUGAUUUACUGUGACAUUUGUUCCUUUCAGCCUAUGGAAAUUUACGUCGAUGAUGAAGCCAAGUUGACCCUUCAUGGUCUUGUACAGCACUACAUCAAAUUGACUGAGCUGGAGAAAAACCGGAAGCUGAAUGAUCUCCUUGAUGCACUGGACUUCAAUCAAGUUGUUAUUUUUGUCAAAAGUGUGAACAGAGCAGCCGAGCUUAACAAGUUACUUGUGGAGUGCAAUUUUCCCUCAAUUUGCAUUCAUUCUGGCAUGUCCCAAGAAGAAAGGUUGACACGCUACAAGGGAUUCAAGGAGGGGCAUAAAAGGAUUCUUGUGGCCACAGAUUUGGUUGGUCGGGGAAUUGACAUUGAACGAGUAAACAUUGUUAUCAACUAUGACAUGCCAGACUCUGCUGACACUUAUCUACAUAGAGUUGGUAGAGCUGGUAGGUUUGGCACUAAAGGGCUCGCAAUUACAUUUGUAUCAUCUGCUUCAGACUCUGAUGUUCUCAAUCAGGUUCAGGAGAGGUUUGAGGUGGACAUAAAGGAGCUUCCUGAGCAGAUUGAUACAUCUACAUACAUGCCUUCUUAGAGGAGGUUCACUUUGCGACAUGAAUUUAAUGUUUGAGGCCGAGACAAUUUGUUAUGGUGCAGAGGAUUUGAUUGUAUCAUGUUCUUCGGCCUUGUGUGUAGUACUUAUAUCGGACCAUAGAAGGCAGAUUUCUCUACUCGAUGGAUUUCAGUGGUUUUGAGUUAUUGUAGAAUGAGAACUCUUGAGGCCGUGCACAUGGGGAAUAGGGGGUAGACUUUACUAGAGUUUCUCAUGAAAUGCUAGCCUUGAUUUACUUUUAUAACUAAUUCAUAUUUGCAGGUUAUGUGGCCAAAUAGCUGAGUUGUGCGUUAGUCAACGGAAUUUGGAAAUCUAUAUAUUUUUAAUGUCUAAUCACUUGGUACUGUUGAUGCUGCUUUGUGAUUUCCUUUUUAUUUGCUUCUAUUUAUCUGUGUUUUAAUGAUGGAAGAACUUAUCAAGCAAAUCCAGAAAAUGGGUUUGAAGAAAUUUUUCUUUGGCAUUAUGGCAGAAUGAUCAUUAGUCUGGCAAAUUUGUGAAGUUGUCAUAUUGAGGAUCUAUUGGCCAUGCUAGUUUCUUGAUCUUGUGGUAGGGGGUUUGUGGCCUUGUGGGAUCUGUGCCGACAUCUAAAAGUCGCUAAUUUAUGUAGUAAGCGUCGCUGUAUAAAUUUAUGAUGAUUAAAAUUGUAAAUUGUGAGAGUUUUGUGAUGUAAGCCUUUAAUAAACACAAUAACGUUAACGUGAUGUGCAGCGUAUGCGAGGGCAGUGCUUGCCUUGCUCUGGUGCCUCCUGUCUGCUUUCCUUGAUUGUGCUUUCG
rnacentral:misc_RNA from 1 species